CAAACGCUUACAAGACCUAUACCGAAGCUUUUAAAAUUUAUGUAAUCUCAAACGUAACAUUUUAUUCGUCUAGAAGAGGUUCGCCUUGAAGAAACCAGCGCCCGAAUAAGAUGUAAGUUUAAGUAUUGAGUUGUGAUGAUUAUCUGUUUAUAAUACUUUGAAUACAUUAUGAAACCGUCAUGCAUAUUCAUAUCAUGUCGUAUAGCCUUUGCCUUGAAGUUUGUGUGAUGAUUUACAUUUAAAUAUGCCAGGAUCCACGCUCAAUUUUUUCCUGAAAUUUAGACAAUCAUGGAAAUAAUAUACGUAGACUUCUUAUAAAAAGCAUACAUAUUUUGCAUUGUUGGAGGCCAUUUGUUAAAGAUGCUAAUAUCCACUGCCAAAAUAGUCCCCCCUCCCCCCCAAACACAAUGUUGAUCAUAACAUAGACCUUUGGCAGUGAACUCAUGCAUACAACAACAUUGUAUAGGGGGGAGGGGGGAACAUUUGGGAGAUUAUUGUUUUGUCUACGAAUUAAUUUCCAUGAUUGUCUAUAAAAAACAUGGCACUUAGUCAAAUUUCGGUACCCAGCAAAGGUUGUCAACUAUAGUUUUCCGUUCAAUUCUCAACUAAAAUUACUCUGUUUGUACCCUUGUACAACAACGCAUGUAAGUAUUCUUUCCGGGGGGGGGGGGGUUUAAACAGGGGGGUUGUCUUGGGACAAAUUAUUUUGACUGUUUUUCUUAUGUUGUGACUUAUGGUUUGUCUAUGGUUGAAGUAUGUACAUGCACAUCUAAGCAUUAAAAGUAUAUUUAUGCAAUGCCCUAUUAUUGCGACCGAUUUCAAGCAAAUGUGGCGUUAGAUUAAGUUGGUUUGAGCAGGCUGUGUAAAUAAAAAUUGGAAUAUAUAAAUGUAUUGGCAUGAUCAGCCUGUUUAGUUGAAAUUAACUAAUUUCAGCAAGGAAGUUUCACGUGUUUCUUGUGUCCGUGCAGAUGCUUGUUAACAUGCAAAGCUUCCAAGACAUCCAUGCAGUAUGAAAAAUGAGAUGAUGGUAUAAAGCAUG